GAGCGGGCAUAGCAAUAUGUCAGCGGCAGACGGGUGAGUAACGCGUGGGAACGUACCUUUUGGUUCGGAACAACACAGGGAAACUUGUGCUAAUACCGGAUAAGCCCUUACGGGGGAAGAUUUAUCGCCGAAAGAUCGGCCCGCGUCUGAUUAGCUAGUUGGUGAGGUAAUGGCUCACCAAGGCGACGAUCAGUAGCUGGUCUGAGAGGAUGAUCAGCCACAUUGGGACUGAGACACGGCCCAAACUCCUACGGGAGGCAGCAGUGGGGAAUAUUGGACAAUGGGCGCAAGCCUGAUCCAGCCAUGCCGCGUGAGUGAUGAAGGCCCUAGGGUCGUAAAGCUCUUUUGUGCGGGAAGAUAAUGACGGUACCGCAAGAAUAAGCCCCGGCUAACUUCGUG
rnacentral:rRNA from 1 species